GUAAUUUUUAAACAAUAGUUGGGUUAAAUAAAACUUCCCAGCACGUUUAACCCAAAUGCUGGGUUUGUCCAUUUUUAACCCAACUUGGGUUGUUUUUAAACCAGUAUUUUUAGAGUGUAUGUUUGUGUUCUAUAUGAACUGUUAAAAUCCAGGAUUAACUUUGAAAAGCUGCUGUGUGUGUGUGUGUGUGUGUGUGUGUGUGUCAGACAAUUCCUGAACCUAACAGCACAAUACACACACUGACUCACACACUUGAUAUUCACACACACUUCCACAAACAUGCACAAUUGACCUGUUGUGUGCAUUUGUUUUUAGAGUUGACCACACAACACUAGAGCGCAAAUAUUAAUCACAAGUCACAAUAAACCAAUUAAACAGCAUAUGAUUGUUUGUUUGCACUCACAUCUUUAGGAACUUAUUCAGUGAUCACGGCAAAAACAGAACAGAAAAGGGUGAAAGUGGCUCCCUGAACUCUACAGAAGAGACCCAGCUGGAGCCCGAGUGUGAGGAUGCUUCAAAGAAACACCACUUUAUGAGCUCUAACGAGGCCUGAUGCUGCAUUUAAUAAUGUUUCCCUGUGUUUUCAUGAUGCUUUUUAUUAAAAUAACACAAUAAUUCCUUCACCCUCCCUCCAGAGCCACGAGCAGGUGGGCACCGGCCUCAUUCCACCUGUUGCGCCGGGACAAUAUUACAUCCCCCGGGGUGCAGAACACGCAGGGCACUGACUCCUCACCCCAACACUCGAAAUAUUUACCCAUGAGGCCAGCUGCCAGAGAGGACCGGUGCGGUCAUGUGCUCUUUAAGAUGCCGCUGUCGGUGGAGCAUUAACACAAACAAUCAGAUCAGUCAUUCUGAUUCGUUGAGAUUGUCUUAGGAUCAUUCACUUGUCAACUAAUAACAUAAAAAUACAAAAGACUCAAACAUUGAUCUACUAAGACAUACAAAUAUGUUUCUCAUGGACUGUGCUUGAACAUUAAUAUGGUUAACAAAUGACAAAUUAUGCAUGUUUUUCAUGACAAAACUAACAUUUUAUAUCGCAACAUUAUUCCAUAUAUGUUCAUCACCUUUCUAUUAUUCUGUUAGACUACGAAAGCUUUUUAAAGACUGUUUAGUGAAUUAAAAUAAUAAUUUGUACGGUUGAAGUAAAUUAAAUAAUAGUAAUAUUUUAGUAGAAUAGGCUUGCUGAAACAUCAAUAAAUAGACAUUGGAUUACAGUAAUUACAAAAUAUAUUAAUUUAUUUAAUAUUAGGCUUUUAUAUCAUUGUUAGCUUAAAACAAGACACUCGAUACUAGGCUAAUAACCUUUUAAGAAUUAUUAAACAUAUGCAUUUUCCACACUGAAGAAAAUAACACCUGGAGACAUUUGUUAGUAUUUAAAAAAAAAAAAAAAACAAUAUUACGUUAAUCGCUUUGCGCGCAAUAAUUAACGAAUUGAUACACGCCGCACGCGCUCCCGCUGAGAACCCGCGCGCCUGUGACGCGAUUAAAGUUCCUCAGAAAGUUUCCGGCAGUUAAGAAGGAAGUCGCUGCGGUGGAACAGGAAAAAAGAACGCGGGAAUUCGGUUCUGGAGCCCUCCACAGGACGCCAACAAAACUGCACCUGUUUCCACAACCUAAAAGAGCCAAAGGUUAGAAGGCAUCAAGACAAUCCGAUCCAGUCCUCAUGGAUCAUCCUGUGCCUGUAAACAUGAAAGAGACACAUCCAUAGAGUCUCACCUCCUCCAGCGGGAGCUCUUUGAGACGGACCAGAGAGCUCGACAGCAGCCCAACAAUGAAGGGGGUUGGCGUACAGACAAUGUCCAUCAUGGAAGGUGGCAGGACUGGGAU